rnacentral:rRNA from 1 species
UCGCUACUACCGAUUGAACGGCUUAGUGAGUUACAGGGACCGAAAUUGUUGUGGGGUUUCCCAUUUCAGUCUUGUGGAACUGUAUCAAACUUGAUCGUUUAGAGGAAGUAA